rnacentral:rRNA from 1 species
UACGGAGGGUGCUAGCGUUAAUCGGAUUUAUUGGGCGUAAAGGGCGCGUAGGCGGAAAAAUUAGUCAGAUGUGAAAUCCUGGGGCUCAACUCCAGAACGGCAUUUGAAACUGUUUUUCUAGAGGGUAGACGGAGAAAAUGGAAUUCCACAAGUAGCGGUGAAAUGCGCAGAUAUCAGGAGGAACACCAAUGGCGAAGGCAGCUCGCUGGGACGUGACUGACGCUGAGACGCGAAAGCGUGGGGAGCAAACAGG